UCUACUAAUUAAUUAAAGAGGUGCUCAUCAUCUAGACUUAAUCCUACUCGUUUUCUUGAAUAAAAUUGAUUCAACUUGGUAAAAUUAGCUUAAUUAAAGACAAGUUGUUAAUUAGAUGGGGAGAAAUAUGGGGAAAAGAGAGGCCUAUAAAUUCACGGGCCUUCACGAAGUAAAAAAUCAUCAUUGCAAUAAUAACACAUUGUACUGUUGUCAUGGCUAAUUAUGCUUUCUAUUUCACUCUGGUGCUUUUGGUGAUGUCUGUUUAUUUGGCUAGUUCUCCAAACGUGAAAGUACUUGCUAUGAGAGACUUGGCAGAACUCAAAUCAAACUUAAUUGGCAAAAGCUUGAAGAGUGGUUGUGGUGGAUAUUGUCGACAGAACAGUGACUGCUAUAAUAUAUACUGCAAAUAUUGUUACUAUGAUGUCAUUCGUCAUACCUACGGCUGCGGCUAAAGAUAUAUAUCCUGGCCAACACAAUAUGAUCAAUUAUGUCUGUUUUUCUUUUCCAAUUUCAGCUUUCUUUUCUUUUAAUUGAAAAAUAAAAUGGCUAGUUCUACUUCUAACUAGCUAGAUCGAUCAGGAUCACAUUAUCGAAUGUAACAUCAAAAUAGUUAUGGAAUCUUAAUAGCUUAGUUGAUUAGUUACGUGAACUCCCACCUUAUUGGUGAGGGUUCAAUUCCCCACAUUAUUAUAAUCCCCUCCCCCAGUUUUUUUUUUUUUAAAAUAAAAUAAAAAAAACAUCAAAAUGGUUUGUGUUGUUGGCUUACAAAUGCUUUUGCAGUAUUUGUACUUUCAAAGUUAAAUGUAACUUCAUCACUUUGCUUAUCAAGAUCUUGGCUUCCUCCUAA